GAUGAACGCUGGCGGCGUGCCUAAUAUAUGCAAGUCGAGCGAACAGACGAGGAGCUUGCUCCUCUGACGUUAGCGGCGGACGGGUGAGUAACACGUGGAUAACCUACCUAUAAGACUGGGAUAACUUCGGGAAACCGGAGCUAAUACCGGAUAAUAUAUUGAACCGCAUGGUUUAAUAGUGAAAGACGGUUUUGCUGUCACUUAUAGAUGGAUCCGCGCCGCAUUAGCUAGUUGGUAAGGUAACGGCUUACCAAGGCAACGAUGCCUAGCCCACCUGUGAGGGUCAUCUCCCACACUGGCACUGAGACAGCUUCCAGACUCCUACGCGAGCCAGCAGUAUCGAAUUUUCCGCAAUGUUCGAUAGCCUGACCGAGCAGCGCCGCAUGAGUGAUUAAGGUCUUCUGAUCGUAAAUCUCUGUUAUUAGGGAAGACCAAAUGUGUAAGUAACUAUGCACGUCUUGACGGUACCUAACCAGAAAGCCACGGCUAACUACGUG
rnacentral:rRNA from 1 species